GUGCUUGCUUUGACAGCACAUAUACUAAAAUUGGGCAAUUCAGAGAAGAUCAGCAUGGUCUCUGCGCAAGGAUGACACUCACAUUUGUGAAGUGUUCCACAUUUUU